CUUGGAUCUUUGUUGAUUGGUGAAAAAUCAAGAAGACGUUCUCAUAGGAAAUUAAGGUUUUCCAAGGGAACCAAGGAAAGUUCUUCUGGAACACCAUAUUUUGGGGUCUCAUUAACCAUCACAGAAGCUACAUCAGCUUAUGCCAUCCAGGAAGCCAUUAAGUCAUCCCAUAAAAGGGUGUGCAAACUCAUUCCAGAGGCAACUGCAGGCUUGGAGAGAAAGAGCUGGAGUCUUGGUGUGUCUGUCUGCCUCCUGAGGAGGACUGUGCAUAAGGUGGGUGAAUGAACACGAGGAGAAAUGCAGGAACAACUGUUGUUUUCGGCGCUGAAAUCAACUGGCCAUGCCUCCCAGGUCAAUGACUGGCUAAACAAUGAGGUUUGAAAUUUAAGAGAGAUGUAGUGAUAAUGAAGAAAGGGGGCACAUACGAAAUCAUGCAACGCUGUUACAAUGUGAAAAACGAAAAUAUAUAUCGCUAGAAAGAAGAAAACGACGAAGAUACAAUGUUAAAAGACAAGCAUCAUGUGUCCCAAACAGUUAUUCUGUCAAUACAUGGCUGAAAGGUGCAGGAGUGAGGAUCGCCUCCAUUUCCUCCAUUCUGGACCAUGCUAAAUUACCACUACUUGAGCUGGGCCAUUGAAAGGGCGAAGCUUUCAACGAACAGCACAAGGAAGGAGCCUUGUGGAUCCGAUAUAUGUCACGACUGGGAAA